rnacentral:lncRNA from 1 species
CUUGUGCCGUGUGUGUUUCUGUUUGGGACCGGGAGAAACUCAAAGUGAACUUUCCUGGCAUUUCAGUGGAAUUUCUUGGCAGGGCCUUAUCUGGGGAAGGAGGAGGCAACCUGGAGGUUGGAUCAGUGGUGGGAGGGUGGCUUUCCCUGGGGUCUCACUAGCUUGAAGACUCAUUCUUCUCCUUUGUGGGAGCCCCAGGCCUGCCUCUGGGCUUCAUUGGACCCUGUCUGCGGGGCCGAGUGUAGCUUGAUGCUUUCCUCAGCUGCUGGGGUGACUCCUGCCAGAUGACGCUGAUGGUCCCUCUUAGCAAGUGCUCCCUCUGUACAGGUCAAGUGCUGGGGUAGGUGGCCACUGGCAGUCUCACCUCCGUGCUCUUCUGGCACCAGAACCUUCAGCUCCAAAUUGUUAAGUCUGAGGGGAGACAUAUUGGUCCAGCUUGGGAAUCAUGAUGUCCUUCGACCAAUCCCACCCAGGAGAAUUGGAUACUGUGAUGGCUCAAGUCCCGGAUGUGGAGGUGAAUAGCAGAAGAGGGGAGACUGGAAAGCUUGUGCAUCAGAGAAACAGUCCUGUUCUGUAGCCCUGGGCCCACUCCUUCCUGCAUCCAGGGCCUGGCUGCUCAUACUGUUGACUCAGUUCUGAACUGAUGUCUCCAUGGACUCUGCACCUGAUUCCAGAUCAUUAAAGCCCACGUACUUGCUUGAGCUCAGGUGCGAUUCUAACUGUUUUGAAACUCUCUUCUGGAAAUCAUAUUGAAAUAAUUGUGAUCACGUGAUCCAUCACACAUUAACCCAAGUUAGCACCUUUCUACCUCCUUGUAUAAAAGUGUCAAAUCUCUGGGUGAAUGUUUCACAAAAUGCCCAUGUAUAAGAUCAAGCAUGUCUAAUUCGAACUACCUGUGGGAAGGACAAUCUGGAUUAGAAAAACAUCGGAAUCCUGAUUUAUAUUUUAAGUAAUUCAAGUUUCUGUGUUACUGAUUAGGGUUCUAGCGACAGACAGACAAAAGCCACUCUGGGUGGUCUCGGUAGAAAUGACUUAUUAGGAAGUCUAGCUAGCCCACAGGAUGGUGAGGAUAGCUGAAGAGACUGUCUUGUGGCUCUACUCCAGGAAUGACUCCCAAGACCACAUUGUAGGACUCGGCUGCCAACGGAGCUGCUGCGUCCCCAUGGUCAGAAAGCAGCUGGAUGAGGACGCCACCUGCCCCGGCUCCUGGCUCCACAACUGAACCAGCUCUGCCAGGAUCUGUCAGCAAAACGGACGCAUGGCGCCUCUCUCUCUCCGUGUAAUGCCUUCCCAAGUUAAAGUCUCACGCAAGCACCUUUUCCUCUGUGCAAUUUCACUCUCAGUCAAGGUCGUGUGCAAGUACACGUGACUGUUGGACUAAGUCACACCUGGAACUCGAGCUGCAAGGGAGUUUAGGCGAGUCCGCGUGGAGCUUUCCAGCCUCUGUGCAGUAGACGGGGUUGGGCUUGGAACAGAUGUUGAAUGAGCAUCUUCUCUGGCUUCCCCUAAUCCUCACAGAGAGAAGAUGCUUGAUAAAUGUGUGUGAAUGUUUGCGUGUGUGUGCGCGCGCUAUAGACUGAAUGUUUGUUCCCCCCCUCAAUUCAUAUAUUAAAUCCCAGUGCCCAAGGUGAUAGUAUUUAGAGGUGGGGCCUUUGGGAGGUGAUUAGGUCAUGGGUGUGGACCUUCAUGAAGGGCAUUAGUGCCUUCAUAAAAGAGACCCCAGGGGCUGGCUCUGUGGCCGAGUGGUUAAGUUCACACACUGUGUUUCAGCGGCCCAGGAUUUCGCGGGUUCAGAUCCUGGGUGCAGACAUAGCACUGCUCAUCUAAGCCAUGCUGAGGCGGCGUCCCACAUAGCACAACCAGAGGUGCUCACAACUAGAAUAUACAACUAUGUACUGGGGGGCUUUUGUGGAGAAGAAGAAGAAGAAGAAGAAAAAGAAGAUUGGCAACAGAUGUUAGCUCAGGUGCCAAUCUUAAAAAAAAAAGAGAGACUCCAGGUCCUUCCACCAUGUAAGGACGCAGUGAGAAGAUGGUCAUUAGUGAACCAGAAAGCUGGCUCUCACUACGUACUGAAUCUGCCAGCCUUGGACUUCCCAGCCUCCAGAACUGUGAGAAAUAAAUUUCUGUUGUUUAGAAGCCACCCUGUCUGUGGUGUUUUUGUUGUGGCAGCCCGAAUGGACUAAGACAGUGUGUGAGAACAGAAAGCACUGGACCGGGAGUCAGCUGACCCUAAUUCUGAGUAAGCCCCCUCCCUUAUCUGGGCAUCACUUUCUUUAUCUGUCAGGUUAUGGGGUUUGACUAAAGGGUCUUGAAGGUCCCUUCCAGUUUGAAUAGUCCA